UCCUACUUCUUCAUAAUCCAAAAACCCUAAUUCCGUAGUACAUAGCCGUCUUUCCAGCUUCCAAAGCCGCUUAAAUUUUCUUGCAGUUCCUCUGGUUUUCAAUUCGUUCUUUACUCUUUCAUGUCGAUGUUGAGAUCUUUUAGGCCAAAUUACUGCGUUCUCGAACAGAGUUCGAAACUUUUUUCUUACGAUUUCUGCAAUUGGCAUUGAGUUCGGAUUUGGAAGAGGCCAUAUGACGAACUUUCGAAUGUAUGUUUUCCGAGGGUUCUGGUGACAUUUUCUUCUUCUGGAUGAUGAGAUAACAUGAAAUUACAGUUAUCCCUGGCUGAUUCGAAGUGCUGAUAUUUCUUAUACUCUGACAGUACUGAUUUUUGGAUUGAAUGGUUUCUUUAUUUUUUCAUCGACUUUUUCGUUUUUUUUUUCUUACUUUCUUGAUCUCUCUAUUUUCUCUUAGGUGUGGCCAGUGAUGAUGAGUUUUUUUUUUGGUUCACUGAGAUGCAAAAAUGUUGCAUUGGUGUUGAAGCUUUUUUGAACUAGGACGGUCUGAGGCUAUCACCUUUCUGCUUUGCCUUUGUUUAUAUGCUAUGAAGCUUAAUAUCAGUUUUUCAUCAAAUCUUCUUUUUUUGUGUGUGGAAUUUUCGUCUUUUUCAUUGCAUGUGGGAGUGGAUGAUUUUCAGGGGUUAUGGAGAAUUUUGAAUAAUUUUGGGUUCUUAAUUCUAGUU